rnacentral:lncRNA from 1 species
CAUGAGAUCUGAUGGCUUUAUAAAGGGAAAUUCCCCUGCACAUGGUCUCUUUUGCCUGCCGCCAUGUAAGACAUGACUGUGCUUCUCAUUCACCUUCAGCCAUGAUCAUAAGGCCUCCCCAGCUAUGCUGAACUGACCUAGGACUCUCAAUAAAGGAAGAAGACCCACAAGGAGAGUUUAGACCGGGACUGUGGAGCCCAGAAGGAGAACGUGUCUAUGGUGGAGUGAGGCAGAGUGCAGAGAGCGCAUGGAGGGAUUCCAGGAUGGCCAAGUGGUCACGCAGCCCUGGGCCCAGCCUGGGGGUUCAGGACAAAUCCUGCCACAUAAAGCAGCAGCCACUGGCCACAGUCUUGCACCCUCAGUGCCAAUGUCUGAAAAAUCUGGAUCCCACCAGGAAACAGACUUCCCUGUGCAGAGCAGCACUUAGCAUGGCAGCAUCCCCAAGGGUCCCCACAGGUUCAAGACCUCCCUGGAGGGCCCCUGGAGAGCCCCAGGAUAAUGGUGACUCUCCAAAGGGGGGCAAAAAAAGGAAUUAUUUAUCCCCCACCAUAGCCCCUUAAAAGAUGGCUAUUAAAAUGGAAAUGUAAAAUAAAUCAGAGUGAAGAACAGGAAGGAAUAAAUGUGUAGCCAUAAAACUUAACAGUUACUGUGACCUGAGCAGGCAGUCCAUUUCCUUCAGUCUUUGCAAACCCAGGCUUUUGGCAAACAUAAUAGGCUUCCUUUUGUUCUUCAAAGGACAGCCUGACAUGAAAUUCUAAAGUAAAUCCACCAUGUGGAGCCUUAUACAAGAAAUACUAUGUGGUAUUAUGGACAAUGCCCCAAGAAGGAUGGGUUUCAACAUAAACCCAGAAGUAUCCUAUGUGUCCCUGCUGUUAGCUGUCCUCAGUGCAGUGAUCCCAGGACUAGGCCCCUUGACUUGGGAAUAUCGUAAAUCAAAUUCUUACCCUGAGCCCACACUGGCACCUGCCCUGGGGCGGGGGGUGGCGGGGAGGAGGGAAAAACCUAUGGCUUGGCUGAGCCAGCCUCCUGGACCAGAGAAGAGUAAACUCAAGGCUGGGAAAGUAUUUCUUUAUAUAAGCUUAGUGCUUUCUAUGUUGUUUACCCUUCAACUACAUUAAAUAGCACAAACAAAAACUUUCCAGUCAAAUUAAAAACAGAACAGGAGCUGAAGGCAAAAGUAUAUCACAGCUGGAUUGAAAGAAUGCUAAGCCCUGAGCAUUUUGAUCAGAAAUCACAGUAUCAGAUUCCAGUGGGUUUUAUGUCAGAGAUACCCAUGACCUGAGCCAGCUCUCAGAAUUGUAAGUAGCUGCCUUUUGGGUUAAUGGAAAGCCAGAGCUAUUUGUGAUGGCCAAUAACAAUACUGAACCCCAUCACCUGUGUUUAUCAUUGGGCUGUAAAGAGGUCGGC